AGGUGGCUUGAUAAGCCGGUUGCUGUAAAGCCCCGGGCUCAACCUGGGAACGGCAUCCGGAACUGUCAAGCUAGAGUGCAGGAGAGGAAGGUAGAAUUCCCGGUGUAGCGGUGAAAUGCGUAGAGAUCGGGAGGAAUACCAGUGGCGAAGGCGGCCUUCUGGACUGACACUGACACUGAGGUGCGAAAGCGUGGGUAGCAAACAGGAUUAGAUACCCUGGUAGUCCACGCCGUAAACGAUGUCGACCAGCCGUUGGGUGCCUAGCGCACUUUGUGGCGAAGUUAACGCGAUAAGUCGACCGCCUGGGGAGUACGGCCGCAAGGUUAAAACUCAAAUGAAUUGACGGGGGCCCGCACAAGCGGUGGAGCAUGUGGUUUAAUUCGAUGCAACGCGAAGAACCUUACCUACUCUUGACAUCCUGCGAACUUGUGAGAGAUCACUUGGUGCCUUCGGGAACGCAGAGACAGGUGCUGCAUGGCUGUCGUCAGCUCGUGUUGUGAAAUGUUGGGUUAAGUCCCGUAACGAGCGCAACCCUUGUCCUUAUUUGCCAGCGCGUAAUGGCGGGAACUCUAAGGAGACUGCCGGUGACAAACCGGAGGAAGUGGGGACGACGUCAAGUCAUCAUGGCCCUUACGAGUAGGGCUACACACGUGCUACAAUGGUCGGUACAAAGGGUUGCCAACUCGCGAGAGUGAGCCAAUCCCGAAAAGC
rnacentral:rRNA from 1 species